UCUUUUUUAUGCCCCACCUACGAUAGUAGAGGGGCAUUAUGUUUUCUGGUCUGUGCGUCCGUUCGUUCGUUCGUUCGUCCGUUCCUUCGUUCGUUCGUCCGUUCCUUCGUUCGUUCGUCCGUCCGUCUGUUCGUUCGUUCGUCUGUUCGUUCGUUCGUCCGUCUGUCCCGCUUCAGGUUAAAGUUUUUGGUCAAGGUAGUUUUUGAUGAAGUUGAAGUCCAAUCAACUUGAAACUUAGUACACAUGUUCCUUAUGAUAUGAUCUUUCUAAUUUUAAAGCCAAAUUAAACUUUUGACCCCGAUUUCACGGUCCACUGAACAUAGAAAAUGAAAGUGCAUGUUUCAGGUUAAAGUUUUUGGUCAAGGUAGUUUUUGAUGAAGUUGAAGUCCAAUCAACUUGAAACUUAGUACAAAUGUUCCCUAUGAUAUUAUCUUUCUAAUUUUAAUGCCUAAUUAUAUUUUUUAUCCAAUUUCACGGUCCAUUGAACAUGGAAAAUGAUAGUGGGAGUGGGGCAUCCGUGUACUUUGGACACAUUCUUGUUUUAAUUAAGUUUGGGGUAUUUACCAUGUUUGUAUGGCAGGAUGUGGAUGCUAUCCCCAGCUCGUACAUUUAAACAACCUGACAAGUUAUUUUUUUUGUCUGGGUUGCCCUUGGACAAGUAAGAAAUUACACUGGACUAAAUCAAUUUAAUAAAAAAUAAAGAAUUAUUUUCAUAGCUUAUUAAGAUAUAUUAUUUUCGGUAAUUGGGCCACAAUUAAAAAUAUUUUGGUUUGCCCAAACCCUACCCAAAGGUUGAGACAGUGGGUAGGUAGGUAGGCAUUUUCUUUCUUUUUUUUCCAAAAGAGAAAUUGAAGUAUCGGGUGUUUAUUAGUCUUCAUGCCUAUCUGAUUAAAAAAAAAACCUGUUUAAGUCAAAACAGCAAUGUUCAUGAAUUAAAUAAAACAGGAAAUAGAUUAAUAACCAAAAUAAAAUAAAAAAUAAGUAUGCACACCCAGUUAUCAUUAACAUUACAUUAUCUUAGUCCAUUGACGAGUAAUCGUCUUUUAGGAUGUAUGCCUUAUCCAAGAGAGGUGUCAAUUUAAUUUUUCUCGACUGAGUUUCUAUCGAGAUAGAUAAAACCUUCUAAAAACAGAUACACCAGGUAAUCAAGACAAAAGGAAUGAAAAUAAUAUUUGAUGACUCGACUCGAGUAAAAAACAGAAAAUGCAGGCAGAGAAAGACCGGGAAUAUAAUUAUUUACAAUUAUACUUCCCCAGGGACAAGAGCUCACAAAUAAUAUUUCCACACACAUGAUAUAUUUAUAAAUUAUUUGCUAGUGUCUUUUGGGUUUUGAAUGUUUCUGCCUUUUUGAAAAAUCUUAUUUUUAAAUUCUAUUGAUUUCAUUCUAUAACAUAUGAUUAUUUAAAUACAAUAUUCAGUAAGCAGAAAAAUGCACAACUCCAGGG
rnacentral:lncRNA from 1 species